UGUCUUUUUGAGACAUCAAGAAAACGAAAUUGGAAGGAUAUAAGAGAAGAUUAGCAUGACCCCUAUACAAGAAAAUACCCACAAAAAGGUCUUGUUUUGUUUU